rnacentral:rRNA from 1 species
GAUGAACGCUGGCGGCGUGCUUAACACAUGCAAGUCGAGCGAGAAGUUUUGAAAAGAUUCUUCGGAGGAAAUUUAAAAUGGAAAGCGGCGGACGGGUGAGUAACUCGUAGGCAACCUGCCCCAUACAAAGGGAUAGCAUUCUGAAACGAAUAUUAAUACCUUAUGAAACUUAACUAGUGCAUGCUAGGUAGGUCAAAGAUUUAUCGGUAUGGGAUGGGCCUGCGUCUGAUUAGCUAGUUGGUGAGGUAACGGCUCACCAAGGCGACGAUCAGUAGCCGACCUGAGAGGGUGAGCGGCAACAUUGGAACGGAGACACGGUCCAAAAUCCUACGGGAGGCAGCAGUGGGGAAUAUUGCACAAUGGGGGAAACCCUGAUGCAGCAACGACGCGUGAACGAUGAAGGCAUUUGGGUAGUAAAGUUCUGUUAUAGGUGAUGAAAACUGACAGUAACCUAGGAGAAAGCCCCGGCUAACUCCGUG